AUGAGCCUCAUUUUAUAUGCUUAAAUCAAGGUCGGGUUUAGUUUUACAUUCGGUGAAUGUUGUUGGCAUGUGAAUCAAGUUUUGCAUAAUUUUAAUACUUGUUUCUCAUGUUGGCAGCAGCCCAUAUACCAAUAUAUCUGCUUUCUUUCUUGUGUGUGAGUGGCUGUCUGGCGAGGUUUUGGUGGGUGACACGUGAGCUUUUGAUUGUGAGCUCUUUUGGGAUAUUCAAUCUUCUGCUUGAAAAAGGCGAAUGUGAGCCUCCUUUUAUAUGCUUAAAUCAAGCAGGCAAAUUUGAGAUUCCUUUUAUAUGCUUAAAUCAAGGAUGACUUUAGUUUGCUUUCGGUGGGUGACUCGUGAGCUACUGAUUUUGAGCUCCUUUUUUAUGUUCAAUCUUCUGCUUGAAAAAGGUGAAUCUGAGCCUCCUUUUAUACAUAAAUAAAGGUUGGGAUUAUUUUUACAUUCUGUGAAUGUUGUUCGUAUGUAAAAGGUCGGCUUUGGUGAAAGGCCACUUGUGAGCUUCUAACAUUGAGCUCUUUACCAAUGCUCAAUCUUCUGCUUGAAAAAGGUGAAUAUGAGCCUCAUUUUGUAUGCUUAAAUCAAGGUUGGCUUUAGUUUUA